rnacentral:lncRNA from 1 species
UCACAUCCUCCGAGCUCUAACUUGUCCUCAAUUCAACCGCGGGAACCAACGAACUUUUGAAAUCCCCCUCCCUCCACAUGGCUAAACACACCCCAACAUCUUCUCUCCAAACCCACCUCCACCUCCUCCUCCUUCUCCUCCUCCUCCUCCUCCUCCGCCAUGCCAACUCCCAAUCCCUCCAAGACCAAGAACAAGCAGUCCUUCUGAAACUCAAGUCCUACUUAGAUUCUCCACCAUCUCUCAGCCAUUGGAUCCCAUCAAACUCAAACACUUCUUCCCACUGCUCCUGGCCUGAAAUUUCCUGCACAAACAACUCCGUCACUGGAUUGCUUCUCGUCAACUUGAACAUAACCCUACCGGUUCCACCCUUCAUCUGUGAUCUCACAAACCUCACACUCGUCGAUCUCAACACCAACUAUCUCACCGGAGAAUUCCCAAAAUCUCUCUACAAGUGUUCCAAACUAGAGUACUUAGACCUCUCACAAAACUACUUUGUAGGCCCGAUUCCUGAUGACAUCGACAGCCUGCCCCGGCUUAAGCAGCUUAUCCUCGCCGGAAACAACUUCUCCAACAUUCCUCCUGCGAUAGGGCGGUUGCAAGAGCUCGAGAAUCUUCAGCUGUGGAUGAACCAGUUCAAUGGCUCUGUCCCACCAGAAAUAGGUAACUUGUCCAAUCUCAAAGACCUAAACAUGUCUUGGAACACAAAACUUGUGCCUUGGACCUUGCCUUCCAAUUUCACCAAGUUGAAAAAGCUCAGUAAUUUAUGGAUACGCCAAUCGAACUUGAUUGGAGAGCUUCCUGAGACACUUGGGGAGAUGGAAGCAUUGGAAGUAAUUGAUUUGGCAAUAAACACUUUGAGUGGGAGGAUCCCGAACAGUUUGUUUACGUUGAAGAAUUUGAGUAUAGUCUAUCUCUUCAAGAACACGCUUUCCGGGGAGGUUCCUCAAGUGAUUGAGUCAUGGAACUUGAGCAUUCUUGAUAUCUCUGAGAACACUUUAUCAGGGACAAUACCAGAAGAGUACGGCAAUCUUACCAAAUUAACUCAGUUGGCUUUGUUUCUCAAUGAUUUUUCGGGUGAAAUUCCCAAGAGCAUUGGCCGCCUGCCAAACCUCAGAGACUUCAAAAUCUUCAACAACAAUUUUUCAGGAACAUUGCCUCCAGAGCUUGGGAAGUACUCAAAGCUCGAAGCUUUUCAAGUUUGCGUCAAUAGGCUAACAGGAAAACUGCCAGAUGAUUUGUGCUAUUGGGGUAAGCUGGACGAUGUUAUAGCUUAUGGGAAUCAUCUGAGUGGAGAAUUGCCAAGCUCUCUUGGAAAUUGCAGCAGUUUGAAGACUGUCAAGGUUCAAGAUAACAUGCUGUCUGGAAACAUUCCUAGCGGUAUGUGGACGGCUCCAAACUUGACUACUGUGCUGGUGAGCAACAACUCGCUUACUGGCAAGCUUCCUGAGAAGAUGUCAUCAGAUCUUUCGCGGUUGGAAAUGCGAGACAACAAAUUUUCGGGCAACAUUCCAACCGGGGUGUCUUCCUGGACAGGUUUGAAGGUUUUUGACGCCGGUAAUAACCACUUAAGCGGUGCCGUUCCUCGGGAAUUAACCGCGCUUUCUAGCUUAAUGACUCUUUCUCUGGAUCAGAAUCAGCUCACCGGCUCCCUUCCAUCGGAUAUUGUGUCGUGGGAGUCACUCGCUAGUCUUAAUUUCAGUCGAAAUCAGCUCUCUGGAACAAUUCCUGAGAAGCUUGGUCUUCUGCCGGGACUUACUGGAUUAGACCUUUCAGCAAACCAACUUUCUGGCGAAAUUCCAGACCAACUCGGGCGUCUGAAGCUCAACCAAUUCAAUCUCUCUUCCAAUCAACUCUCCGGGGAUAUCCCUAUCGAAUUUGAAAACGCUGCGUAUGAAGGAAGCUUCUUGGACAAUCAGGCCUCUGCGCACCUAGCUCAGCGGCAAUAAAGCUCCCCAUAUGCAAUUCUGAAUUCCGAAAGUCCAGUAAACUUUCGUCGAAAUCUCUUGCACUGAUCUUAUCUUUAGGCAUACUAUUGUGCUUGUUGGCUUUUUCCAUCACGGUCAUCGUGGUCAGAAGUUACUGGAAGAGAAAUGGUGAUUCUAACUGGAAGCUCAACUCAUUUCAGAGGUUGAAUUUCUCAGUGUCGAAAAUCCUAUCGGGGUUGACUGAACGUAAUCUGAUUGGAAGUGGUGGAUCAGGAAAAGUUUAUCGCGUUCCUGUGAAUCGCGUUGGUGGUGUUGUUGCUGUGAAGAAGAUUUGGAAGAAUAAGAAUUUAGAAGAGAAGCUUGAGAAAGAGUUUCUUGCAGAAGUCAAGAUCUUGAGCUCAAUUCGACACGCCAACAUAGUGAAGCUGAUGUGCUGCAUUUCCAGUAAGACUUCAAAACUUCUCGUCUACGAGUACUUAGAUAAUCGGAGCCUGGAUCGAUGGCUGCACAGGAGAAACAGGCCAUCCAAUCUCUCGGGGUCAGUCCAACAUGUCGCGCUCGACUGGCCUAAGAGGUUGCAGGAUUGCAGUGGGGGCAGCUCAGGGCCUCAGCUAUAUGCACCACGACUGCGUGCCGCCUGUUGGUGCAUCGUGACGUGAAAUCGAGCAACAUUUUGUUGGACUCCGAUUUCAAUGCAAAAAUAGCAGACUUUGGUCUGGCUAAGAUGUUGGUCAAGCAAGGAGAACUUGCUACAAUGUCAUCUGUUGCUGGCUCCUUUGGCUACAUGGCUCCAGGUAAACCUUAUACCCCACAAAUGCUGAAGUUCGGGCAUGUCUGAGACCGCUUCUUUAUAAAGCACUUCUUAUAAGUACUUUUGCAAGAAGUGGUUUUCUCUUCUGCUCAUAAACUUGUGCUAUAAGCAAUUGACCAAAAAAAAAAAAAUAAAGCUUCUAUGACCCAUAAGCACUUUUUAAGUUUUUUUACCAACUGCAGUUAGAAGUGCUUUGAAGUUGUUAGAAAAACACAUAUAGCCCUUCUAAAAGCAAUCUCAAGCAUGCCCUUAGUGCCUAAAGAAGCAUGUGUAUUUUCUUUCAUUUCCAUUAGCAAUCUGUAAACUGGUUUUUCUUACCCUAAAUGCAGAAUACGCUCACACAACGCGAGUGAAUGAAAAGAUCGAUGUGUAUAGUUUUGGGGUCAUCCUUCUGGAGUUGACAACCGGCAGGGAAGCCCAUGACGGCGAUGAACACACUGCCCUUGCUGAAUGGGCGUGGCGCCAUGUUCACGAAGAAAAUGCUAUCCCUGAUGCUUUGGACCAGGACGUCAAAGAACCUUGUUACUUGGACGAAAUGUGCUCGGUUUUCAAACUUGGCCUCAGUUGCACAGAGAGACUUCCAGCUAGUAGGCCUUCCAUGAAGGUCGUUCUGCAAAUCUUGCUCCGAUGCAGCCGUCCAGUUAUCAACGGUGAAAAGACCGAGUACUUUGCCACUCCUCUGCUCAAGAACUCGAAGCGCGAGAGGAUUUUGGAAGACGGGAAUGGUAGUUUGGCAACAAAUGUCUGAUGCCUUCAUCGAAUUCACAAAGAGGAAACAAAUAAAGGGGAAGUAAGACUUUCAUUUCAGGUCGGUCUUAAGCUGAUCAAAUGCGUACUAGAGAAGGAAUUAGAUAGUCAUAGUGAUCAGAUGUAUACUAGAGUGCAGCUCAACAUCGAGUACAGCUUGGCAUUGAUGUCGAGCUGCACUCUAGGCGAUGAAACUACCUUGUAUAUUUGAGUAUGUAUAAUAUCUAGACUGGAUUAGCAAAUGCACAAUAACGAGUAGCGAAAACUUCUCAAAAAAUCAGCAAGAACUGACGGCCCGUAAAAACCUGUAUUAUUUGCAACAGGGAAACAUGAGAGAAUGUUCCGCAAAUAGUACAUACUCACAGUUUACAUCCCCUAUUUUAUUAAGUAAUCCGGGAGAAAUAAGCUUAUAAAUUGAUCAACACAACGCCUACUCCAACUGCUGAUUGUGAUCCUACGCCAAUUACUGGCUCUAAAGGUUCAUAAAUUACGGAUGGGGUGCAAGAUCUUCCGAACUAGUUGCUCAGAAUAACAUGAAUUGAUCCAAACGAAAUAGUAGGAAACAAGUAAUAUGCCCGCUCAUUGCUGCGGGACUUGAAUGCAUCGGCUUUAACUACAUGAAUAAGACACAUUUAACAUAUAAAAAAAAAUUCAAUAUAUUCAUGAAUGAACAAAAGGGAUAGGUGAGUGAACGAUGUCGGUAAGAUAAGCAACUUAACUUUUAUAUACAUUCAACCGAGCUGAUUACAAAAUAUGUGGUUGCAAAAAAUGCUCUGUUUCCCUGAGAAAAAGAAGCAACAGCCCCGUAUGCUUGGCCAAUGGUUCCAUACUCGUUUUCAAUCUGGUAUAAUUGAAACAACAAUUAACCCAUAGAAAGGUUUUGUUAAGUGCUUCUGGAAAGAGUGUUGGAUUGCUUUUCAGCUUGCUUGCUUUGUGGUGAUAUGGUGCUUGGGAUUUCAUGGUUGGUCCAAGAGAAUGGAGAAUUCUAGAUAAACAACAGUUGAAAAUAAGUAGGUUCACACCAAGACAAAAAUAAAGGAAGACUUCUAAUCUCAUAAAAAAAUGUCGUACCCAGUGCACAAGGCUCCCGCUUUACGCAGGGUCUGGGAGAGGUGAAUGUCGGCUAGCCUUACCCCCAUUUAUGAAGACUUCUAAUCUCAUAAAUUAGCAAAAAUUCUACUAUUCUAAAUUCCUAAUCUCACUUGACUUCACUGCCCCACACCUUUGUCCUCUGUCUCCCAUUGACUAAAAACACUCCCAAAUCACACUAGCUAGCCAUACAAAACCACUGGCAACAUCAAAUUUUAGGCACGAUUCAAGUAACCAAAUUCAAAUAACCGAGAUCAGAUAAUGAAAUGUGUUUAUACCAUAUUUAAGGCCUCGUAUUUAGAUCUUGUACAAAUACUCGGGGGACUUAAAUGUAAUUAUGUGAUAAAGGAAAUGGCAAAUAUGUAAUAAGUGAGGAGUCCUUAUUCUAUAAAAGGACCCCUCACCCUUACAAUUAGGAAAAGCCAUUUCAGAGGCCAAUUCCUAGGCCCUCUCACCCCCUCUCAAAGCUCUCACUCUUAGAGCUCUCUCUCCCUCAGAUAAAUACAUAAUCAGUGUGGACGUAGCCCAAACCUUGGGGUGAACCACGAUACAUCUUGUGUUAUUUACUUUCAUGCAGAUUCACGGUCGGAUUUACGUUGUUCCAAGACCUCCGGUUUUGUGCAUCAACAUUUGGCGCCGUCUGUGAGAAUCGAUACGAAAAGUUGUGUCGGUUCUCUUUCAAUUUUUCACCUCCACCGUGAACCUGCAGAAACCUAACACCCACACUCAGAGACACCACCAUCUCUCUCUGGCUAGGCAAUUAUCCGCACAAGUUUCACCCCUCCCACCAGCUCCUUUCAUGCAAGAAAACCCGACUGCCAACACGUGGAAUUGAUGGCUAGGCAAACGCGAAAGACGGGAUUGAUCAGAUUCUAAAACUCUCUUUUUCAUCCUCCCCUUGAAACGUGCAGGCUUUCUUGGUGACUGGUCUCACCCCCAAUCCAAAAAAAAAAAGUGGCGGAGGAGCCCAUCAGGAUUCAAAGCCGGGCCCAAGCCGGUCUGACCCAAGUCCCGCCCCAAUACAUUCAACCCCCCUAGUAUGGUCCCAACAGACCAUCAUCCUCAACCAACAUUCCAUCAUCGACCUAUUCAGAUUUGACCCGACCCACCGCGACUCAGUUCAGGCCUCAAUCGGACAAACCUGCAGAGACUGGGACGCCUUCCACGUUACCAAUCACGGCUUACCCGUCGCCUUACUCGAUGCCAUUAAAGCGCGCCGGCCUCACCUUCUUCAAUGAUAGCUCAGUCGAAGACAAGCUGAACUAUGCGUGCGAUCCAAGCUCGUCGACGUUAGAGAAGCACGGCAGCCGGAUGUUGGAGAAGGAUGACACCGUUUUGGACUGGAAAGACUACUUCGACUGCCGCCGGUAAGAAUUCCAACCAGCUUCCGACAGCUGGAGGUUCAGGAUGACGGAGGUUCAGAGCGAUCUGGGAUAUUCUACUCUCUCUUCCAAAUGGCUCUCCAGAACUCCAACUCCUCAAGCAAUUCCACCUCUGCCUCCGAUUCUGUAAUUUCGAACAAGGAGCGGAGGUUCGCACUGUACGAUCAGAUGGGUCAAGAUUUGGCUAAGCAUAGACCGAUUUUUCUUAAACAUAGCAGCCCGACCUCCCAAUCUCUGUCACUUUCUGAUAUUUUUACUAUCAGGGAUGGAUCUGUAAAACCUGUACUUAAGGCAGCAAAUCCUCCUGUUCGUGCUAAUGUGUUGUAUUUGAGCACACAGUACUCGCUUCAGCUGGGCCAGAAUUAGACUGAAUGGAGCCUUCUGCCUAUCUUUCUAAAUAAUUCAAAAAUGUUGCAGUCCCACGGUGUUGAGAGAGUUUAUGAUGCUUUCCAUCUCUUGCAGACUGAAUCUUUUAUGCAGAGAAUGGUGAUGGCAUUGUCCUCUGAUAUAGCGGUUUGGGAUGUUGUGAUGAACAAUGAGGUGGUGCGCAAGCUCGGCGAGCCUUUCUAUGCAGGCUUAGCUAGCAUCCACAGCCACACCCUCACCUUCUCCACCGUCAUUUUUGAAAAAGAAAAAAGGAAGAAAUGAGUAUAAAGGAGCAGCAACAGAAUAAUAAAAGCAGAAAGGGAGCGGACCAAAAUUAUUUGACAAAAAAAAAAAAAAAAAAAAAAAGCAAAAUAGAGUACGUGGAGAUUCGAUGGGAGAGUAUAGAAAGCGAAAACAUUGCCGAUCAUACAGCUCUGGUUGAGGGCUGUCAAAUUAUUCCGCAAUCACCGUGUAGGCUAUUUUCCCACCAUCAGAUAUCUAAUGGCAGCUUGGUGUCAGCACAUCGUGUGUUGAUCUCUUGGCCUCAGUGGCCUCUUAUCCUAAUCCGGACGACAAGAUCAAAACAACCAGCUUCAAGGUUCAAGCAGGUGGGAAAACAGGCAAUGCUUUAACAUGUGUAGCUCGUCUGCGAUUACGUCUGAGGCUGAUUUCCAAGGUUGCAGAUGAUACACAAGGCAGGGCUAUACUGCAGGAGCUACAAGCCGACAGCAUAGAUACUUCUUUUGUUGCGGCAUGGACAGGAGCAUCAUCUGUUCCUAGUGCUCUUGCUUCGAUGCUUUUACGUCCACACUGCGAUUGCAAAAGAUCAAAUUCGCAAUUGAUAGAGAGUCCGGCUCCCUAUGAUGGUGGUCCCCAACGACUGCUUUAUCUUUUGUCAUGAGCUUUUAUUUAUGUCAUGAGCUUUUAUUUAUGUCAGGAUCAUCCACUAUCCCACUACAAAAGAAAAAGCCCACGGGAUAGCAUGUAAAAGAUAGAGACUGGUGCAAGGUUCCCACUACACUGCACCACGGGAUAACAUGCUUUAUGUUUUUGUAUGAUGUAAUUUAUUUUUCGUAUGUUUCAGAGACAUUUGUAUAAAUCUUAUCAAAGGGUAAUAUGUAUAAACCUCAUCAGAGGGUAAAAAAAAAAAAAAAAAAAAAAAAAAGCCCAAAAUAAUGGGCUGACAUGUUGUGGAGAGCAAAUGCCCAUAAGCCCAAAAUAGCACAAACCAGAUCAUCAAAAACACGCACAGUACUCCCUAAUUAUUCGGCAACCCGCCGCUAUUACCACCAACCAGGUGAUGAGAUGUACAACCCAUACUCUAAUUUGGCAACUAGCCAUUCAUGCCACCAACCAGGUGAUUAAAAGUACGCCCAGUACUACAAAUUAUACAUGAGCAUUACUCAUGUCAUUCAUACAUAAACAUUCAUGAGCAUCACUCAUGACAAUCAUACAUAAACAUUCAUGAUCAUCAUUCAUGUCAACAUUCAUGAGCAUCACUCAUGACAACAUUCAUGAGCAUCACUCAUGACAACAUCCAUGAGCAUCACUCAUGUCAAUCAACAUAAACAUUCACGAGCAUCACUCAUGUCAAUCAGCUUCAAAAGCUUCAUUUACAGAGCUCUAGCUUCAAAAGCUUCAUUUACAGAGCUAUAGCUUCAAAAGCUUCAUUUACAAAAGCUCUAGCUUCAAAAGCUUUAUUUACAGAGCUCUACUUCAAAAGCUUCAUUUACAAAAGCUCCAGCUUCAAAAGCUUCAUUUACAGAGCUCUAACUUCAAAGCUUCACUUGCAAAGCUUCACUUACAAAGCUUCAGUACAGGGUAUACAAAUACCGCAUCCGAACAACCGCCACUUCGGCCCAUACAUGGAUUCAAUUUGAAGUCUCCAGCCAACAGACUCUAUUGACCGAAGACUUGGGGGACUACAUUAUGUACCAUAUAUUGGGCCUCAACUGGGCCUUAUGAAAAUACUUGAGGGACUUAGCCCAUUAUCUAUGUACUGAGGAGCGAGCCUUUAUUCUAUAAAAUGGACUCCCUCACUUUCAUUAGAGAGCACUCAUGAAAAAUACUUGGGGGACUUAGCCCAUCACUCAUGUAUUGAGGAGCGAACCCUUAUUUUAUAAAAGGGACUCAUUCACCUUCGUUAGAGAGCAUCGCCACCCGCUGAGCAACUGCCUCGCCGCGAGCAUCACUCAUAACCCAUUAUUCAUGUAUUAAGGAGCGAACCCUUAUUUUAUAAAAGGGACUCCUUCACCACCAUUAGAGAGCAUCGCCACCUACUGAGCAACCGUCUCGCCGCGAGCAUCAACUCUAGCCCAUCAUUCAUGUAUUGAGGAGCGAGCCCUUAUUUUAUAAAAGGGACUCCCUCACCUUCAACACCACAAGCCGAGCCAACCAAGGCAACAUAAGCCACGAGUCGAGCAGCCUCGCAGCAUGUGUUACUUCUAGUGGAGCAUCAUUUCAGAUUGAGCACUGCCUCAUAUCGAACAUCAGUUCAAGACAACAUCUAAUUACUUCGGCCCACACAUGGACUGAAUUUCAAGUCUCCAGCCAAAAGACUCUCUUGACUGAAGACUUGGGGGACUACUGUUUAUACCAUAUUUAGGGCCUCGUAUUUAGAUCUUGUACAAAUACUCGGGGGACUUAAAUGUAAUUAUGUGAUAAAGGAAAUGGCAAAUAUGUAAUAAGUGAUGAGUCCUUAUUCUAUAAAAGGACCAAUCACCCUCACAAUUAGGAAAAGCCAUUUCAGAGGCCAAUUCCUAGGCCCUCUCACCCCCUCUCAAAGCUCUCACUCUUAGAGCUCUCUCUCCCUCAGAUAAAUACAUAAUCAGUGUGGACAUAGCCCAAACCUUGGGGUGAACCACGAUACAUCUUGUGUUAUUUACUUUCAUGCAGAUUCACGGUCGGAUUUACGUUGUUCCAAGACCUCCGGUUUUGUGCAUCAACAAAAUGCAAAAACACGAUACAUAUAGUAAAAUUCAAGAACAUGAUUAAGAGGAUUUGAACAUGUCAAGUAAAAUCAUAUUCAGUUGAAUCCUAACUUUAGCAUGCUAAAUAAAGACGGAAAAUGAUACAACAGUAGAAACUUCUGAAAAUGGACAUAAAAGAAUUUAUGUUCUGAAAAACAACUUCAAAUAGUAAGAGAAAAGCUUAAUGCACUCAUAGCAUCCUCCAUUGUGGUACACCAUCCUUGCAUGGAUGAUAAACCAUAUCUGACACAGCCAUUCUCGCAAUCUUUGGAGAACUUUUCAGUUUUAGGAGUGCUCAAUUUGUACCCAUUCCAAUUUGAAAUUAAAUAAGAACUCCAUCAAAAACCUUAAUCCUACAAUUCAAUGCUAAAAAAAUUAAAGUAGCCAAAAAACCAAAAUCUUAGUGACAACUUGUACGGACGUUACAAAAAUAUAGGAUGCGAAACACAUUAAACCUUCUAGAAACUCGAAGUUAUCGCUAUUUGGUUAUGAAGAUAGAUAUAUAUCACCAAGAAACCAAAAAAAUGGCAAGGAUUUGCCAAAAUUUGUAAAUUAAACACAGAUGCUUCAACUCCUUUUCCUCUGUUAGUCUAUUAUCAUCUCACAUGCCACACUAUUCGAGACUGGAUCAAUUCGAUCACAGCCAAACCGCCAAUAUUAAACUUAACUAAGUACCGAUCAAAUGAUCUAAACAUUGUGUAUUACAAAUCCAAAUCAAUAGUGGUAAUAAAUAAGAUAAUUUCAGCUGCGAUUUGCAAUUAAAAUUGAACAAUGCUUACUCCCAAGGAAUAUCUGACAUUGAUUGCAGCAAUCAAAUGUGCGUUUAAUUGAAUUAUCUAUGUAUUUGAGGAUUUGGGAAAGGUUUUUUUAGAGUAAACAGACAUUAAUUAUUAGCCAUCUAUUUGCUUAACAAACGAUAGCUGAAAUUGCUAUGUAUUUUUUAAUGGGGAAUUUAAAAUCCAAUCCCAAUUUGUCAUUGCUCAAACAAAUUGGAAUUUCAGAACCAAUCUCAAAGAUCAAAUUAACGAAAUGUUCAAUUUUAUGAAAACUCUUAAGCUAAUUUAGAAAGGCAAAUUGCAAGAUUUUGAAGGAAUUUGAAAAAUGAGGGAGAAAAAAACCAAAUUAGAAGGUCGUGCCCUAUCUCCCUGACAAAAUCAAUCGCACAAAAACCAUAGCUUUUGAUGGAAUUUCAAAACCAAACAAAUCUCUAAGAUGAAUUUGUCAUGUAAACAUGUUUAACACAGAUUUCUCAAUUAUUAACACUACUCGUUCUCAAUUAUUAAAAACAUAAAGAUCAAAGUCAAUUGGGUGAAUAAUUAUAUACCUUGUCGUGUCAAGCAACCAACCAACUUCUACCUCCAACGACCCAAAAUUCUGAAAAUUCCAAAAAAUUUAAUUUAAAAAAAAACACACACACACAACAAUAGAAAGAUAAAACCUGGCAUAAGAGAAAUCUACAAACCGGAUGUCAGAUCAUCAAAGAUUAAAAACCACUCAUAAUCUAUUAGCAUUUGAGUCUAGAUAUGAGAAAUUGUCAACUUUGUUCCAUGGGAUAGUUAACAAGAUAAUAGUUCACAGGAUACUAUCAUAUCGAAACCAACGCUGAAUAAAAUCCAGCAAUGAGAUUGUAAUGAUAUAACGUCAUUUCUUUAAAGCUGCAUAUACCAACCUAAAAAAGAAAAUAUGGCAAGAAUAGACUGCUUCCAUUGGCCCUCCAAGUCUCCUAACCACCCAACCACCCGUCUAGAUGCAUUUGCCUGUUCUUUCCCACAAUUCUUAGAGAUCAAAUAGAACCCUCAGAUUGACUAGGGACAUUAUCGAAAUCCUUUUUGAAACCGUAAUACAGGAAGACAUGAAUAAUUUCGACAGAAAGACACACAAAUUGUUGAGGGAGGAUGUGAAGCUUUUGUACGGAAGGUUUCUACUCUUGUACAUCUAAAAAAUAAAAUGAAGCAAGAGAAAUUCAACAAAAAAUGCCCAAACAACUCACUAAAUUCAAAGCAUAACAUCUACACUGAGUCACUAACAUACAUUACUCAGUUAGGACUCUGUUAUAUUCAUCAUCCUUGGUCAAUGUAAUCAUAUAUUUCAUAGCUACACUCCCCAUUGGCAUACACUGACAUAGCAUCUACUUUUUUGCUGACUUUAUUUGCUCAGUUAAGCAAUAACCAACAUACACAAUCUGACAAUCAUAGAAGCUACACCAAUCAUCCAUAUAUGGUAGAAAUACAAAUACAAUUCUAAUAGGGUUUGAAACAAAUAAACAAAUCAUCCAAUUGGAAUGUCGUUUGGAACAAAUACACCAACCAUUCAAUUGGAAUGGGAUUUGGUACAAAUACAUGCUUAGUUAUCUCAAGCUUUACAUAAAUGGACAAAUAUAGACAUGCGCACAAAAUAGAAAGAAGCCUAGUUCCAUUCUAAGCUAAAACGAACAAAAUUGAAUUAUAUAUUUAAAAUUCAAGCAUGAAAGCUUCACGAAGAUGAAUUAAAAAAUGUAAAUAACGAAUUAGGCUUUGAAUAAAAAUGAGGGUGUAUAAUUAUAUACCUCAAAAUGGCAAGGAACCAACUUCUUGCUCUAACAAUCCAAAUUUCUGAAAUUUGGAAACAAAGUAAAUCCAUUAGCAACUCAGAGACUUUAAAAUUCGAAGACCAAACUUAAUGAAAUUUUAGUUAAAUGACCAAAGCCACACCCAAAACAAAAAAAAACAAAAAAAACAAAAAAAAACAAAAAAACAAAAGAGAUUUUGGAAAUAUUUUGAAUCCAACACAACUAAUUUGGUCUAACGAAGAAUAUGAAAGCUUAAGACCUAGGUGAAAUGGUCAGUAAACUGCAAGGGGCCUCGGCCAAGGCCAUAAUUGAACAAUCAUGUCAUACAACUCACAAUUACUUCAAUGCAUUUGGAUAUAAAAGAAAAUUAAAUUUGUUCAAUUUCGAUAUAAAGAACUUAGUGGCACGAACAACUUUUGUGCUUCAAUGGCGUGAGCAGUAAAUAACCAAGUUUAUAUACUGCAGUUCAGAUAACAGAAUUAUAGGUUCAUAACAGUCCAAAUAAACUUCACCUAACCAGCAUGAAAUGACACGAGAAAUGAGUCGAUUACAUAAGUUUUAAAUAAUCUCGUGCCAAACAGCUUAUGCUAGUAUGGCCUCUUAUGUUUAAGGAGCAAUUGGAAGAAAAUAGUUCAUGAACGUUACGUUGCGUUUCUGCUGGUAGCGCAGGGCAUCGAACGGAUUUGAUUUAACAACCAAAAAAUCAAAUAAUGUAGUGGAAGAAAAACAAAGAUUAAUAACCAUACACCUAUCCAUUUUCUCUUGUAAACAAAAUUUUCAUUUGCACCUAAUUUAAAGUCAUGCUUGUUUAGAGAUAUAAUCAUAGCAAAUAGAAAGACUCAAUCCAUUGCUAAAAUCAGCAACCAUAAUUUCCUACUAAAAAGAACUUAUCACAAUAGAUUUCUUAGGAAUUAGGAUGCCUAAGACAAUGAUUGAAUCUCCUGGAAAUCAAAUCAAACCUACAAAGCGUUUCACUUUAAGCAAUUGACAUAUCAGACUCAGUUUGAGUUCACCAGCCGCAUUCAGAUAUACACUCGAAACAAUUGAUUAGGACAAUAUAAACUUAUAUUUUGACCAAGAAAAAAAAGAGAGUUCAUCGUUAUAUUUCACUAUUCGACUCACAAAAUCGAAUGGAAUAACAAUUCUUGGAACAAGGGAUCCUUCAAUGUUACGAAACACCCACAACAAUCUUAAAACUACAAAUGUGAGCACCGAAAUCUGUAAAAAGGAAUCAUAUCUGGUACAGCAUUUGCAUAUCUGCCUUCUCUCAUCCCCUCCACAUAUAAACUAAACCAUUUUUGUGCACUAUAAAUUCGAGAAAGAAUCAAGUCGGCCUCUGCUGUGCAAAUGAUUUGUUCCACAUCUUUUCUCCAGCCGCAUUCAGAUAUACACUCGAAACAAUUGAUUAGGACAAUAUAAACUUAUAUUUUGACCAAGAAAAAAAAGAGAGUUCAUCGUUAUAUUUCACUAUUCGACUCACAAAAUCGAAUGGAAUAACAAUUCUUGGAACAAGGGAUCCUUCAAUGUUACGAAACACCCACAACAAUCUUAAAACUACAAAUGUGAGCACCGAAAUCUGUAAAAAGGAAUCAUAUCUGGUACAGCAUUUGCAUAUAUGCCUUAUCUCAUCCCCUCCACAUAUAAACUAAACCAUUUUUGUGCACUAUAAAUUCGAGAAAGAAUCAAGUCGGCCUAUGCUGUGCAAAUGAUUUGUUCCACAUCUUUUCUCCAGUUCCCUAAACUAUAGAUACGACUGUAAUAAAACAUAAAUGGCCCUCACACAGUGCAGUCCCCCUAGCAAUCUAACAAAGAGAGACUUGUCAAAAGAGAAAAACAAGAGCUUUAAAUGCGAGUUGUUUGAUGUGGUUUUCAUUUUCUCCUCUUCUAUUACAGACUAAACAUACACCUAUCCAUUCAUCUUCCCUUUAUGUAUAAAUCUAUAUACACACACAUAUAUUCACACACACAUCUAUAUACACACAUAUAUUUAUAUAAAUAAUAUUAAAAAAAACCUCAUUAACAAAAAUCAAUCACUUAUUGGUCUUAUCUCAUAAAAUAAUCAAACAAUAAAAAAAUAUAAUCACCCUACAUAUAAAGAUCGGAUCUUUACAGAUACAAAUCCAUCAAACUACAUCACAAAACUAACAAAUACAACAAUCAAUACCUCUGCGCAAUCACAAACCCACACACCACAAAUCAUUUUUCACAAAACCCACACCAGACAACUAUCAAAAUUACAAAUUUCCAUUGGCGAAUAUACACACACAUAUAUACUGGAUUCCAAAAGCGAUGAGAGAAAUAUACCUUUGGGGCAUCGAUGUCAGAAGGGUGGGUGAGGCCGAGAUUGGCCCAAGCGGCAGUGCGAGCCAUGAGCUUCCCUCUGCGAGAGCACAGGGGUGUAACUGCAAAAGAAAGUUGGAGACUAGGGGCAGACUGUAAUUUCGUCAAAAAGGAGAAAGAGUACAAAGGAGAAGUGACAGCAAUAAGCGUAGACGUCAAGGACGAAGUGAAUAUGUAUUUGUGAAUGAGGAUAAGCUAUUGCUAGCUUUGUAUAGUGUAAUAAUGCAACUGUAAAUAGACCAAGCUUCUGCUACUAAAAGCUUUUACAAAAUCAUAAAACUCAGUUUGAACCCUACCGGAAAGUUUAUAUGAGUUAAAGAACGGUCGUACUUAAGUGCAGCAAGAUCAUAAGCUCUUGCAGCUUCUCCUUUAUAUCAGAACCACCUGCAGUCCAAAUUAACCAAGAUUCAAUGCCAAAUCAAGAAUAAAUUAGUGAUAAUUUAAACUAAAGUCCCUAAUAUUGUUGUAGAGAGAAUUCAUAUCAAGAUUAACUACAUUAUUUGAUUCGAAUGGAAUCCAAAAGCAGCAUAAACAUGAAAGGUCAAAAAUUAAUAACAAAAGUCACAGUUCAGCAGCAAUUAAUAGCAUAAAUCAGAUUUUAGCAGCAGGACCAAAAUAAUUCAGUAAAAAAAUAAACAAUCCCAAAUAAAUACAAAGAACUGGAGAAACAAUUCCAAACAAAUCUUUGGAAAGCAACUCAUCCCUCCCUCACCCUCUCUCUCUCUCUCCAAUUCCAACUUCUCCCUACAUCUAUCUCUCUCUCUGUAAUAGACGUGCAGUUUUAUUAAUCUUUGUUACCGAAGCAUGCAAGAUAGUGAAAAGGUUGUUUAUCUAAGAAAAAAAGGGCACAUUGUCCAUCAUAGAAAGCAAGCGUGGAAGAAGAAGAAAAUUAAUCACAUUCCAAAAACCAAUUAUUCACAGUAUCUUAGAAACAGUCACAGCAGCUGACCCCAUAAAAAGUUGCUCCUGAAAUUUACAAUCAGAGAAACAAACCGUUAUGAGUUGUGCCAUAACAAAGCAGGAGCAUAAAAGGAAGUGAUUGAGUUUAAUAAACCCUAGUUCAGUUACACAAAAGCACGAAACAUAAACGAAUCCGAAACUACAGAUUGCCAAAAAAACAUCUCAAUAAAAAAUUGACAGAAAACCAAUCUCCCUAGAGACACCACAAAAAAUGAAAACUAAGUUUACCCAAAUGAAAACGGUUUCAAAAAUCUCACAUCUCUCCUUUUUUCCAGAUGGGAUACACACUGAAUGCAAAACCAUGGCAGAAUCCAUACUCGAAUCAAAUAUAUAGACAGUCAAAUAAACCUCUGAAUCUCAGCACAGCUUCAAAAAUUAGACAAACAUAGAUUCCAAUUUCAUCUUUUUCUGUUGGGUAUCAAACACUACCAAAACUGAGGUCACCAACACACAAAUAAGCACAGUGACGGUGUGCGGGACAUAUAUAGCGCUCCAGAAAUCGAUUCGAUCUGCUACUCUUAAGGACACUCAAGCAACAAAAUCCCUAAUUAAUCAAGCAACCGAAUUCAACGAAAUCCCUAAUUACUCAAGCAACCGAAUUCACCAUAUCUCAACAAAUUAAACUCAAAUAAAAUACAAAAAAAAUUAUAAAAAUCAAAUGAAAAUAAUAAAGCUACAAAAUUGAGCAGAAGAAGUUCAGGAUCCGAUUGAAAAAAGUAGCAAGAGUAUACCUUUUCAAAUCGAAGGGAUCCAUUGACUGAUGACAGACAAUGUAUCCAAACCCAAUAAAUCCACAAGAAAUUACUCCAUCACUUGCAGAAAAUUCAAAAUUACCAUUUGAAAUACCAGUGGCAUAGCCUCUUGAGCUUCCAAGCCUGAAAAUUCCAAAAAAUAUGCAAUCUUUGAAAUACCCAUUUCAAUUAAACAUCAGAAGAAUUUUCUUUUCCAAUUCAAAGCUUUGGAAAAAUUGAAUAUUGAAAAUUCUCAGUGACCAAGCGGGACAUUAACCAAUCAAGAUCCUAAACCCACAAAAUCAAUCCUAAAACGAAACCUAAUUAAGUACUAUGUACAUAUAUAACAUGUUAGCUUUCUACUUUUAAGAAAAAUUAUUAAAUUGGGAAAGUGAUCAAAUGGGAUGGGUCUUCCCUAUUAAGCAGCAGGAUUAAUUCCAACAAAAGAAAACAAUAUGAUCAAGAUCAAGAACAAUCCAUGCAACAAAAAGACAGAGAGUGGGUGUGUGGAAAUUAGCAGGGUGGUAGAAUUCCAGACAGAGAGAUCCUGAGUGAUGUUGGAGAUCCCUUCCUUAGCUUUCUUAGAAAGCCAAAAGUUCCAACGCAAGAUUUCAGCAUACGAACUCCUACCCAGUCAACCUCACACAAAAUUAGUUCAAAAUUAAACAGCUAGUCCCCAAAUUACAAAAAAAAAGAGACAAAAGGGUUAUUGAAUAGAAUUAAAUUGCAGUAUCAAUAGACUUUAAUAUAAACCAUUUACCCUGAAAAGACACCUCAACCAUGAAUAGAAUUAAAGUGUAAGUGAACAAAUAUUAUGUACAAUAAAUAUAUAAGGGAUACACAUUGCAGAUAUACAUGAUGCACAAAGUCUCCCAUGUUUCUGAAAUGAAAACGCUGCAAAUCCAAGAUAAAUGGCCAAUUAAUCGUUCAACUGCUAAUGGAUCGCUGGAUAUUCUUAGCUGCCUUUGUAGUUCUUGUUUGUCAUAUUCAAACACAACUCAGGAAAAAUAAAUAUAAACACAAAGAGAGAAGAAGAUAUAAGACAAUUACCUAUUUAGUGAGUUCUUGGACCUAUUUAGAGAGCAUUGGAAUGAAAUGAAGCUAACUCUGCAACAAAUAAACAAAGGAAAAUGUCAAAAUCCAGAAAUCCAAGUUUAACUCAAUCAAAUAUAAUAACCAAUGAAAUUGCAAACUGCAAAUUCUCGCAAUGUGGAAAAGGAAAUUUGUUUCUCACCUAUGUUGCUCCCUUCUUGUGAUCCAAAUUUGAAGAAUGGGGAGGGGCAGUUAUAAGUGUCAUCCUCUUUGUUUCUCCUAUCCCUGCAUUGUGGACCAAAACAACAUCAAACCAAGUGCAAUACAAUCCAAUGUAAUGCUCACAAAAUUUGAGCUCCAAACAAAGUCACCGGUCAGCAAUAAGCUAAUUGAUCAUAACACCAUUCGCAAAUAUGAAAAACAUAAACAAUUAAGUCAGCAACAUGAUAUACCAUCCCUUUCAUACAAACACAGAUUGCAAUUCAUAUAUGCCACAUUAUUCACACAAUUAAAUCAUCAUCAUGAAUCACAGUGUAACAUGAACACCAUCAAUUAGAAAAGACAGAGCUAUAUGGCCAUAAACAUACAUGAAGAAAAAUUUAGUUCUGAAUUUGGACCCAUUUUCUUAACCCGUGGUUCCUACAACCCAUAAAUAAUUUUAGUGUCAUUCAAAAUCACAAAUACCCCAGAUGAAUUGAAAAACUGCAGAGAUUAGUUUCAUGAAUACAUAAUUAAGCAAAAAGCCAUAGUUAAUCUAAAAGGAGGGUUUAGUUAAUCUAAAAAGAGGCAUACACAUACUAUCAAUCCUCUGAAUGUUCUCUGCACGAUGUUCUGCUUUAAAACUAAGGUCGCAAUUCAAGCCAUGCCUAACAUUGUCCCCAUCAAGAAUGUACAACAGCUUCCCCUGUGGUACAAACUCCCACCCAAAGCACACGCCACCAUGCUCUUCCCUGAACAAACAAAAUAAAUUAUACGCAAGUAAUGAGCAAUGUUCUUUGGGCACUUGGUCUAAGUUCAUAAUUAACCUUUAGCGUCAUUCAAUUAUAUACUACCAGUAUGUUGACCCAGGUACGAUUCUAAUUUACAUAUGUUCUUAUAAAAAAGUUUAUAUACAUAAAUUUCAAUAUGUCUGCUUACAGUUUUUAAAGUGAUUAGUGGUGAUAAGAUUAGGGAUACGCUUUAGACAUCAACCCCUUCUUAAUCCUUCAAGUGUAAUCUAGUCCUUCAUAUUAAACAUGGCCUAAAUGCUUAACAAUCCGGGAUAACUUGUAUGGAAAUGAACUGACAAUGAAGGUGGGUUUUUGUCUUUUGGGUGAUCUCAUGAUGCAAACAUAUACGGGAGGAUAGGUAGCAAAAGCUAUUUAUGCUUCGUUCGCUUUUUAGUAUCUAUUUGUACAGUGUGAAGUUCUUACCUCAAAUUUGCUUCAUAUGUGAGCUUUCUCCAUGUAUGCACCAUUGAAAGUUGAACCACUGAAAUCAGAUUCCCUCAUAUCUGCUCAUGUUAAAUUGGCUAGCACUUCUGCAUCAGUCAGUUUACAUUGAUGUGAAAAUGCAGAUACUAAUGACAAAAUCAGUCUUGUUCUUUUCAAACUAAAUACAUUAGCUUUAGCACGUCGUUUAUUGUGGAGGGUUGCAGACAAAUGCAACAAAGAAAAACUACAAUUUGCGGAAAAUUUUAAGGAAAAAAAUUCAACUAAUCUAUUUCUGCAAUUGUCUAUGUUAAUUGCUAAGUGAGCAUUUCAAUUGUCAAUCAGAGGCCAAUUCGAUUCUUCAAAAUCUUAAGAGCCCAAAUGAUGUGUAUGAUGAUACUUGAUUUGAAUAAACAAUUUUUCAAAUGACAAGGUUACAGUAGCAAAGCCUACUCAAUUAACAUCUAAGCAGAAGAAAACUCACUUCUUUGUGGGUUGAUUAGUGUUAUCGACCAAGUGGUCCGUAAUCUUUUGAAAUCCGAAACAACUCCUCCAGAGUCCUGUAGUUAAGGGUGUGUGAAAAUCACAACCCUAAAUUUAAUUAGGGAACUUUAACGAAAAGCAUUCGGUACUGUUCACUUUAACGAAAAACCACAUUUUUACACUAAAAAGUCAAUCCUGGUACUAUUCACUUUACCCUUUAUUUUGUCUUUAUCAUUAAAACUCAAAGUUUUCAAACCAUUUUUAUUAGUUUUCCUAUUAAUUAAUCAUAAAGAUUUGACAUGAAAAGUAGAGCGCCGACUAAAAUACAGAUUGCAUGCACUCAGAGGCAGCACUCAAAGGGAGCCAAAGGUGCAAUCAUACAAGGCCUCCAAAUUUGAAGGGCCUCCAAAAAUUUUUGGUAUCUUAUAUUUAUAUGUAAUAAUGUUAUAUAUUAAAAAAAAUAUUUUUAUUAGCACUUUAAAAUCUUAUAGUGCACUUUUAUAAGUGUAAUUUUUUUUUCUUUCUAAAUAUAAAAAUUUGAAAUGCAUAAUGAGAUAUUAGGAGUGUUAAUAACAACACCUUAAAAAACGAUUUUCUUUUCAAUUUUAUUAAUUUUAUAAUAAUGUUAUAUAUUCAAGUGAAACUCUAAAGCUAGAGUUGUUGAAGUUUUUUUUUUCUUUAUUGGUUGCUUAAGAUUAAACUGUUUUUUAUUAUUUAGUGAAGAUUAUGUUUAUAACUCUUUUUACUUAUUCAAUGACACUUGUAAACUUACAAUCAGUGAGUCCUCAAUGUUGUUUUGAUUUAAGGUAUUAUUCUCUAGUACCAAUAUAUUGUCAUACUUAAACAAAUAUAUAUAUAUAUAUAUAUAUAUAUAUAUAUAUCUUAAAAAGGGGUCUUUUUAUAAAUUUCGCACAGGGCCCCCGAAAUCUCAGAGACAGCCUGCAUGCACUGAACUGUCCGAGUGGAUGCAUGGGUGGAGUAAUAUGCAGUCGAUCCAAUGAUCACUUUCUCUUGUUUCUCCAAGCACCCCACACGAAUGUUUGAACUUUUUGUGCAUCUUCCAGAAGAAAGAAAAGUGAGUGUAUUAGGAGAACAAACACCACCUACAAAAACCCUUGUUUUCCAUUGCCACUUGGUCACCUUAUGCCCUUGCUUUCCAGAAGUAAUUUCCGUACAUGUUUUUUCUCCUCUUGCAUGCUCGGUAUUUAAAUUGAUUAAUCAUAGAGCCUUGACAUGAAAAAUAGAAAGCUGACUGUUGACUACCUGACACUAAGGUUCUAAACAAUGCUAGGUGUUAGUCGGGCGGUGGGUUAGAGCCUAGAGCUUAGGUGGCUAGGUGGAGCUUAGGCGGGAGACUAAACGGAUUUAAGUAAAUUUAUUAUAUAUCAUAUAAAUAAGUGUCUGCUUAUACUUAAAAAAUACAUAAUUUCAUUGAGAUAUAUAAAUUGAAAAAUAGAAGGACAUGUAGAUUAUAAAAUAUUAGAACAUAAUUAAAUAUGAGAAACAAGUAUAUAAUAUGUGUUCAUCAAGUAUUCAACAAGUCUCUUACAAUUCAUUGAACAAUUAAAAUUCAAAAUGGAAACUAUCUAUUUUUUGUCUAAGUGAAAGUCGCAACCUAGGUUGGUGUCUAAACGGGUUGGGUGGGUUAGGUGGGCACCUAGGCAGUUUAGGCAGGCGCCUAAGUAGAUAUAAGCACCAUUUUUUAAUUUUCAAACAUCUAAGAAUUAGUCGGGACGGUAGUUAGCCGCCUAAUAUCUACGUAGAACCUAAGUGAAGAUUUUUAAAACAAAGCAUGACGCAUCCCCCUCCUCAGUUGCCGUCUAUAUCAGUGAAACCAGGAGUGCUGUUUUCAUUCCUCCAAAUCGUAAAUUUCCGUUGGAAAAAAUGUGAUCAAAAUUCUUAUCUUUUAUUAGGAUAAGUCUUCCACAAGAAAAUAUAAUUAUUUCAUUUCUAGAAGUCUUCAUUCAACAAAGGCGUUCGUCCACGCUUCAGAUUCGAAGAAACUUCAUAGCCUUCAAUUUGCCUUUAACGUACGUCUCGUUCAGCAAAUGGACAAAGUCACAAGGGGGACUUGAAUUUCUUGCAACCUAAAACUUUGGUAAAUUAUAUUUUAACUUACAAGCAUGUGGUUUCUGUUCUUUCUGUCCAGUUUUCAUGUAAUAACUAUCACAUAUAUUAAAGUAAACUAGUCAUGCUUCUGAUCUUCAUCUCAUAUCUCUGGACUGUAAAACUAAAAUCUAAUGCGAAAACGAAAGUACUCGGCUUCUUUAUAUGUAAAAAGUCACACAUCUUCACAGAUAAAUUAAAGUUUGAUAUGUGAGCAUGAACUUCUUAUUUUAUGGUUUUAAUGAGAUAUUUUUAUCAAAUAUUACCAUUAGAGGCUUAAAAUAUUAUUAACUUACGUGUCAGGCAAUAUUAGGGAUGAGCAAAUACCCAUCGGUUAUAAGUAACCGCAGUUAUCCGUCCAUUUAAAUCUCACGGUUACGAUUAUAGAUAACUGUUUAGAUAAAUAAAUGGUUAUGGGUAUAACUGUUUACCCGCGAAAUUUAAAUGGACGGUUAUGGGUAUUAACUGAGGUUAUAAACGGGUAACCGUUUACCUAUUUAUUUUAUAUAUGUAAAAUUAACACAAAUCAUGUUCCCUAUCGAACAAAACUUAGAUCAAUGCUAUUGACUAUAGUGCAUGAUUUAUGUAGCUAAUAUAAUAUAGUUUUCCUUAACCAUUUUAAAUUUCAUGGUCCAUUAUAUAUAUAUAUAUAUAUAUAUAUAUAUAUAUAUAUAUAUAUAUAUAUAUAUAUAUUAUGUUAAUACUUUACAUUCCGAGUUAAAUAACCUAAGAAUAUUGUCUUUUAACAGUUUUCAAACCCAAAAAUACUUAGCAAAUUUUACAUUACCUUCAUUGUUAAUACUUAAAAAUAUCGUCCGUAAACUAUUAUUUCAAUUAUUGGAAUGGUAUAAGGACUUAAAAAAUUAAAAUGCGGAAAUGUAUGAUGAAUAUACCUAUAACGGUGUUUAAUUGUUAGAAAAAGAAAUUUAUGACAAAGUUGUUAAAAAAACACGUAGACGGGUGAAAAAUGAGUAAAUGGUAAAAAAGAAAAGAUAAACGGGUUAAAAAAUGAUACAUGAGUAAACGGUACUAAACGGUUACGAUUAAAUGGGUACACGGUUAUGGGUAUGGUUAACAAUUUAUAAACGAUUAUGAGUAUGAGUACAACCGUUUAGGCAAUUACCCAAAAGGUAAAUGGUUAUGCAAGUAUGAGAAUAAACGGUUAUGAAUAAAUAAUCACGGUUACCCGUCCUCUAUAACCGUUGCCCAUCCUAAUCAAUAUGCAUGUAACAAGAAAAAGUGACGGAAGUAAGCAAGUGCAAAUAAAAAACUGUGAAUAUGAGUUAACAGCUAAGUGAUAGGCACAACCCCACAAGAAUUGGUGGGUUUUUUACACUUUCUCCAUUGACCAUAAAUUUUCCAAGUCCCCCACUAAAACUCCAUACCAUUUGUGACCCCGCCAUGAUUCUGGAAAAUCCCCCAAUUUCUGACGUCUAUUUAGAUUUAAUUUCAUCUCUUAAAAAGGAUCACAUCCUCUGAGCUCUAACUAACUUGUCCUCAACACAACCGCGGGAACCAACGAACUUCUGAAAUCCCCCUCCCUCCAAAUGGCUAAACACACCCCAACAUCUUCUCUCCAAACCCACCUCCACCUCCUCCUCCUCCUCCUCCUCCUCCGCCAUGCCAACUCCCAAUCCCUCCAAGACCAAGAACAAGCAGUCCUUCUGAAACUCAAGUCCUACUUACAGUCUCCACCAUUUCUCAGCCAUUGGAUCCCAUCAAACUCAAACACUUCUUCCCAC